rnacentral:snRNA from 1 species
ACCGGGAAGAGCCCAGCU